ensembl:lncRNA
UGUCAUGUUCUUAUAUUUCACGUUUUUACUUAAUUGUAGAGACACAGGAUCAGUUUUGCAGUGUGUUUGAAUCAUCUAUGUGCUUGUGUGUUCCAGGGCUUUAAUUUGCCUAUUUUUCUUGCAACCAUUAUGUACCGGUGCAUUUGUAAAUAGUUUUUAGUUAGUGGGCAAAGGAUAGACAGCCAUUGAGUAAGACAUCGUAGCUUGUCAGAAGCGCCUAUCUUCUCGUUGGACAUGAACCCUCUUUUCAAAUGGGAGAUACUGUACUUUCAGUUGAAGAAAAAAAAUAGGAAAAUAUAACAAACGUAGUGCGAAGACUAAUGUCAGUUACUAGUAUAGCUCUUGUGACUAAGCAGGCUUUUAGAGAAAAACCCAUUCUGUUUAUCUUACAGUUCCUGAUUUACUUUCCUUCAGUGUCCUCACAUUCAUUUUAUUCACUCACCUAGAGUAGUAAUACGUAGUAACUCAGAAACGAACAAUUACCAUGACAGUAAACCUGCUGGCAUACAUUAUACAGAUACAGUCCAACUACAUAAUAUCAGUUGAAUCUAAAGUAUAUAUACACAGUUUUUUAAAUCAAUAUGUUCUUCAUCAACAACUUUAACACAUAUAAUGGAAAGCGUUUGAGAUACAGACAGAAAUGUAACUAUAGGAAUAUGCUUUGAGGGAUAUAAGGAGUAUGCCUAGCUAUCAAGUGCCUAUUUAUACAUUACUAUACUAAAUCUUCAUAAAGUAGUUUUGCUCUCCUACCGUACAUUUUCCAAAUAUAUACAGUAGCUAUAUACACAUGAUAAUCUAUACACAAAUUAUAACAAUAUUUAUACUACUAUAACAGCAAUGUUGGUCACAGUCAUAACACAGUGCAUCCUAAGAAAGCCCUUUAAAAUAUCUUUAUCCUCCUCAAAUCUUCUAUUUAUAUAAGAUAGAUUUGUUAUUAUUUCCUGCUGACAUACUUAGUUUUAUAACUAGUACAUAGGAGAAAACUGCUAAGAUAAACAACUGGAGUUCAUGAACUGUAGUAAAGGUUCGCUUUAAGGGGCCUAGCCAUGAGGCAUUCAACUAACUCUUCUUCAUUAAAACAAUGAGUAAGCAUGUGUAGUAAUAUGAUAUAGUAGCUAGUCCCUAUCUUAAUGUUUGCCAUUACAAAAACACAACAUUGUUUUGUUCGUCUAAAGCUACAGGUAUGUUUCACGAAAGAUUUUGAACAGUUUUGCGUAGUUUGCCCAGGUUUGUAAGCACACCUAAAUUGUCAAGACUUCUGGCUUAUCAGCACCAGCCAUCAUUCUUCUGCCACACUGAAUGUCUAUAAUUACAUUUGGGGGGUUUUUGCUGUUAAAAAUAAUAUAAAUAGUAGUCACUAAACCACUUCUUUUCUUACCUUUCGAUGUUUGUUUUGAUGCAAAAUACCUACCACAAUCAAAUGUUGUCCUUAGACAUAGCCUAGCUGUUCUCUCAUAAUACAGUGAUUAUGAUCUCACAUAAGACAUGCCAGUCAGUUGAGCACAUUCCUUGUGUUUGUUCUCUGGUUGUAGCUCAUAAUGAUGGAUAAAGUGUAUACUAUUGUCUUUGUGCUGGUCGGAAUGUUUCAGACCUAGCAAUCAAUGAUGCUACUCGGUCCCUGCAGCUAGCUACACGUGCGCGCCUACGUUACUGUACUUGAUCAGUGACAUCAGUGCAGUGCUAUAUUUGCUUCAGCUACUACAGCCUACAACAACACAGCAAUAUCAGUUAGAAGUGCAAUCAAGUUUUACAUGAAGAGUACCAAGCAUUUGUCUGAGUGCUAGCUGUAAUUAAAAGUGUCCUUGUAAGCAAGAAUCAGACCGCUAGCAGUCUUGACCCAAUACCCGCAGCAUAUCUGAAAUAUGCACAUUCCUGUAAUGUCCAGAACAUUCCUGUCCCUAGUCUGGCCUCACUCUACGAGAUUAUGUUGUCGAUUAUUUCAGACUCAGUAACAAAUGAUGUGACCCCAACAGCCUUACUAGGACAAUAAAUCAAUGACUUUCUUUUCAUUACUUGCUGGUCUGCUCUGCUGGUUCUUUUGUCAUGUGACAUUUACCCCUCUAUGUUGGUUUACGUUUAGUUGAAUCUCCACAAUAAUCAUCCUCACAUUUAUGUUUAUUAUAGUGUCACUGGCUUGCUAAACUGUAUAUGAUUGCAGAUGCGUCUCAGAAAAGCACUGCUUAGCAUCUCUGGCAUUGAUGGUCCCAUCAUUGGAUUUUGUUUAGCUUCUAACCAUAGUGCAGAAUACGCCCCUGCAUAAAGGAAAAUGGCCUGCUUGCUACCAUGGUGUGUUCUUCUGGAACAUGGUGUGUCCUUCUACCUAUCGGAUUGUGUUCCAUAUGCAAUAUAUCUCAAACUCUCCCUUAAAUGUUGUCUCUUAGUUUACGGAGAAUACUGAGUCAUCUAGAAGAUGUGGAGUUUGAAAGGUGCUGAAUAAAAGAGCCUCAACAGUAGCUUGCUUAGCACCUUGAAUAAUUGUCUUGGGGCUUUCAGCAGGUCUCUUGCACUUCUCACAUGUCCAAAAUAUAAUUUAUGUCUAUGGUGAGACUAAGCAACAUGCACUGCACUGUAUUACCCAUAUGUUUUUCUACGUUUGUCUCUCUUUUACCUAAUAGGUUUGGUGAACAUAUUUCUGCCCACUUUCUGCCGUGUACCAGACAUACUUGUGGUCUCAAUCAGCAUGCAAUCAUAUAUAAUUAGUUUGGACAUGCAGAGCUUCCAUUACAAUACGUUGCUUGGUGUUGUUAAAGGUGCCGGUGGUAGUAAUGAUUUGUUGUGAUAUGAAACCAAACCAUCAGGGGGCUAUUGAACAUGUUGGAUGACAUAUGCUUGUUUCCGUAAACACCAAAGAAUGAUAAUAAUAUCACAGUGUCUGAAUUUCAAGCAGAAAGAACAUUAUCUGUUGUGUAAGCGAUAACAAAGACUACCAAGAUGUACGUUCCUAUAAAUUUGUAUGUGUUCAAAUCUGGCAAGAUGGCUAAAAUUAUAUUUUCUUUGAUACUCAAGACAGGGUGCUUGUGAAAAUGCUUUUCUGCGUUUUGUCCUCUGAUCGCUAUUGGUAGACUGUAGUUUAAUUGUUGUGUUAAUGUGCCUACUGUAGACCAAAAUAGCUUUUCUAAAGAAAUUCAGCAAAAUAUAAAAAGAAACCUGACACGUAGUAGUUGUUGUAGAACUAUAGCAUGUUAUAACAUGAAUAAGAUUGUAAAUGUUGCAUUGUUCCUCUGCUUAAAAUUAAUACUCAAUAUCCAUUAGUUAUUUUUUCUACACACACUUAGCAAAUUGAUUUAGGCCUUUCCAAUACACAUUUGAUUUUGUUUGAUUGAUCCGUUUAUCUUUGUUUAAUCCGUUUGUCUGUUAUUCCAGUUUUCAGUCAUUGAUUUCUUCCUUCCGUCUUGUUGAUUUCAAAGCUUUUAUUCUCUGAUAAACUAAAUGCACUGGAUUAGUGGAGAACGGAUACUAAAUUGACAUGCCAUGCACAAUGUAUCUGUUUGUCUGACUAAUAUUCUAAAGACAUCUGUCUCAAAAUGUUAUUCAAACAUAUAGUGGAAGAUCCAUACUGAAUUUAGACUGUUUUUUCAAACUUUGAGGUGGACCAAAAUAUGAGUUGCUUUUGCACAUCCUUGUUCUGCAAUGUGUUGAUGCCAUUGAGUAAAAGAGUAGGAAGAUUAAACUUGCCGCUGCCCAGAACAACCGAACCAAGCAACACAAAGAGGCCUAAAUCUGAUUUAAGGGCAAAUGAUUUAUCCCACAAUACGAUAUUAUAACAUUUUGAUGGCUUACCUAGAGCCUGCUACAGAUACAUUUCCCCCAGAGAGCUUUAAACUCAAAAGCCAGCUGACAUUUGAUGAAUAAUUAAGGCAAAAACAACAAAACAGUGUAAAGAUAUUACUAUUAAUUGAGUUGUAUUAACAUCUUGAUGAGUUGGACCAAAUUUCUUAUCAGUUGGUAGCAUACAGUACAUGAUGUUGAUUACUACAUUAUAUAUUUGUUGUAAUAUGAAUUGUUCAUAUCAAAGAAAAAUGUAAACCGUUGGAAAAUAUGUAUGAGUAAAAUGUCACUUAUUGUGGAGGUAUGACAUCCUUUGUAUGAGUAAAAUGUCACUUAUUGUGGAGGUAUGACAUAAUUUGAAAGUUUUUUUCAAGCUGGAUGUUUGAAAUAUGAUUAGUUAUUUGGGUCAUGCUUCUUUAGUGUGGUAGUUGAAUGAAGUCAGUGUCUACAUUGGUCAUUGUAAGAUCCACUCAGUGAUGAAUCAGAAAGUCAGUAUGCUCCCACAGUACAUGUGUAGAUUUAUGUUACAGAAAGCUUCGGUUUUUAAUCAGAUAUUCAAGCUUUUUUUCUGCCAUCUUAAAGCUGUUUAUUUAACAAAUGUACCUGCAGUGAAAAAUAAGUUGCACUUACACAUAUAUAUAUAUAU